AGUCCAGUCCCCUGGGAAGGAGGCGUGUCCCGCUCAGUGCAGCUCCGUGCAGAAACAUCAGCGCGUCUUCAUGAAAGGUUUUACUGAAGAUGCAGCAACAUAAACUUUCCGCCGGGAAACGUCUCACCAAACCGAUCCUGUUCGGGACGCUCAUAUUUGGACUAGGAGCUGCUUUUUUCAACAGACACAGGUUCUUUGAGGACGUGGCGGAGCUUCGGGCUCAGGAACGAGCUCGGAACGACGCCAGGCUUCAGGAGGUUCUGGAGAGGAGGCAGCGGCAGAUGGAGGAGCUGGUGGAGAAGAAGAAGCAGGGCUGAAGCUUCUCCUCUUCCUCCUCCUCUUCCUCCUGGCCGCUGCAGAACCGGGGAGAGCGGCGUCUGAAGACUGAAGGAGGAGUUCAAACUCAGCGAUGGAGGGAAGAGCUGGGCUCCACCUGCCUCCACCUGUCUGCUGCUCCUCAAGGGAAACUGCUGCAGAAAAACUGCUGCUUGAUGAUUUAAUGAACUCUGAAACUGCACUCAGCGAUCUGUCCAGCAGGGGGCAGAGGUCAACACUUCCAACAGAUGAAAGGCUCCACUGAGGGGGUGAUGUUCUUCAGUUUUCUGAUCAAUGUACAGACUGAUGAAGACAGAAACAGUUUAGUGUGUGAUUAGAAAAUGAUGGAAAUACAACUGUUCUGAUCGAGUUAAGGGGAAAUUAAAACCAAGACACUGAGAAUAACGUUCUGAUUCUAUCAACAGGAAUCCUCUCCCUCAACGAGAUGAUUGAUCUUUAUGUUCUGGCAAUGUCAAUUCUUAUAGAUCUAUAAAUGAUGAUCAAUAUCCAGAUGGAGAGACUUAUGGAAGCAAAAAUCAAAUUAAAAUGCUUUAAUUUAAUUUAAUUUCUGAGUUUAAUUUAGUUUAAUUUCUGAGUUAUUGGCUGAAUUCUGUGUGUUUUCAAUGAGAAUGAGCAGGCUCAAAGAUGCAGUAAAUAAUUAAACUUGAACAAAUUGGGUAAGAG
ensembl:lncRNA